GCAGCAGCCGCGGGAAUACAGAGGGUGCGAGCGUUAAUCGGAUUUACUGGGCGUAAAGCGUGCGUAGGCGGCUUUUUAAGUCGGAUGUGAAAUCCCUGAGCUUAACUUAGGAAUUGCAUUCGAUACUGGGAAGCUAGAGUAUGGGAGAGGAUGGUAGAAUUCCAGGUGUAGCGGUGAAAUGCGUAGAGAUCUGGAGGAAUACCGAUGGCGAAGGCAGCCAUCUGGCCUAAUACUGACGCUGAGGUACGAAAGCAUGGGGAGCAAACAGGAUUAGAUACCCCGGUAGUCCCUGUCUCUUAUAC
rnacentral:rRNA from 1 species